rnacentral:rRNA from 1 species
CAGGGAAUCUUGCGCAAUGGGCGAAAGCCUGACGCAGCAACGCCGCGUGGGUGAUGAAGGCCUUCGGGUCGUAAAUCCCUUUUCUUGGGGAAGAAGUUCUGACGGUACCCAAGGAAUAAGCCUCGGCUAAUUACGUGCCAGCAGCCGCGGCAACACGUGAGAGGCAAGCGUUAUCCGGAUUUAUUGGGCGUAAAGGGCGUGUAGGCGGCUCGGUAAGUCCUUUGUGAAAUCUCCUGGCUCAACUAGGAGAGGUCAAAGGAAACUAUCGGGCUUGAGGACAGCAGAGGGAGGUGGAAUUCCCGGUGGAGCGGUGAAAUGCGUAGAUAUCGGGAGGAACACCAGUGGCGAAGGCGACCUCCUGGGCUGUUCCUGACGCUGAGGCGCGAAAGCGUGGGGAGCAAACAGG